CUUUUUCUUUCUCCCUUGAACUCCCGAGGCGUAAAACUCCAAUCGCCACAGCUUCCCCUGUAAAUACACCUCCCGCUCCCUGUGAUCGUCCAUUGGAUCACCGACUCCAUACACUCGCGAUUCGCGGCGAAGGCGGCGUCUCUCCUCUCCGGCGUCUUUGAUCGACGAAAGUGUCGUCUCCUCUUCGGCGUCUUCCGGUGGCAUUACGACGAAGGUGCCGUCUCCUGUCCGGCGGCUUUGAUCGGUGACGAGAGCUGCGUUCUUGGCUAGCCCAUCCUCUCGUCUCCAUCUUUCGGAACUCCCUCGGUCCCUCUUCACCCAAUGCGUUACGUGAGUCUAUCCAUCAUUGAUGCUGCUUAUCUUACUGAUGAUUCCUAUUGGGGUUUCUUGAAAUUUCUACGAUUGCCUGGUUUUGAUACGGAUGUUCGCAAUUACGGGACCAACUAUCUAAACCCUGGCUUCUAGGAUUUGGUUUAUUUAUGGUGGCUCCAACACUAUGUUAACAGGUGUUUUAAGUUGGACUGCUAAUUAAUUUACAGAGGCUACUUUGUUGUAUAUCUGUGAAAACAACUUCUUGGCAAAUCACUGGGUAAUAGAUAACCUUUUUUUAUCCAAAUGUUCUCUCAUCAAAUUGUGUGUGUGUGUGUGUGUGUGUGUAUACUUGUUUAAUUGUGACCAGUCGCAUAUUUUUUAUGAUAUGUAGUCAUAAUCUUUUAUAUUAUUCUUAGCUAAGCUAUGCUUGGACCACAUGCAUCUUAAAGGGUUGGGUAAUAUGUUAGCUUGUUGAGCUGGCAAUGCUUAUAGGGAUGAUGGGUUUCACCAUUGAACAUGUUGGUGGCCUUCAUAUGUUUGAAUCCUUAUGACUACUACUCAUGAAAAUUAACAUGGACAUUAGUUUCUUCGGAUGAAAAUUCUAAGAAUUUUGCAGUACGUUGGUCCUAUUACCGAGAACACUUAAUAUCCUUUGAAAAGGAAUUUCUACAUGCCAACGCCUGUAAGCUACCAAUAUUAACUUUGCAGAUGUGGCUUUAUGUGUUCUAAAGCAUUUCCUAUAUCAUAAGUUGGCCGAUUUGAUUUGCUUAAAUAUUUGUUAUGAGAUAGUGAUGUUUUUAUCAAUGCUUCGUUUAUCACUUUCAUGUCAAGGCACUUUUUCUAAACUGAAGUCUUGUAAAAGUUUGAUUAUCUGAGAGCAACUCCUGUGGGAGUAUAGCCUUAGCACCUUUAUCCUCCUAGGGUGGCACCUCUAUAUUUCACUCCUGUAUGGGCACCCAUUUAUGCAUACAUAUACGCGGGAUACACAACUAGUACCUUUUAGCAUGUUUGUGCAUGUGAGAUAGCAUUUAUAGUGGGAGGUAUGACAAAGUGAUGCACUUAUUUUCUCAAUAGUUGGUUUGAGAUGUUAGAUUGUUUUAACCUAAUAUUGUAAUCAACAAUCGUUUGUUAGAAUUAUGUAAAGUUGAAGUUCCAUCAAUUAAAGGGGUAUCAUGUUUACCAUUUCUUUCUUUUCUUUCCUUUUUUUUUUUUCAUUUUACAUGACUCCAUAAGCUGAAAUUUUAAUCUAAGAACAUCUUAGUUUAAAUUUUAUUGAUUGAACGAAUACCAUGACUGAUUCUUAAAAUGAGUUCAAAGUGCUGAAACUUCUUGUACGGGAGUAUCAUGUUUGAUGCUAUCAUGAUCAAUACCUUUAGGGGACGUUUGGUUGGGGGGAGUGGGGGUCUGGAAUCGGAAUUAGAAUGGGUAGCUCCCAUUCCAACCGUUUGGUUGAGAGGAGUUUCAUUUCGAUUUCGAUUUCAGGAUGGAAUGGGAAAGGAUCAAUCUAUAUAGAAUUCAAUCUCUACUCUUCUCUAUGGAUUCAAUUUUUCAUUCUGAUUUCUAUUUUCAUUUUGGUUCCGCUUACGAACCAAACACCCUCAAGAUUAAAGUUUUUUAAAGAUUGAAACCUUACUACUUUAUAUUGAGGUUUCUAUUAGUCUUGAAACAUUCAAGGCUAAUUGAAUUAGCUCAUGGCUUUCUAAAACAAGGUUAUUAGAGUGAUGAGGAUCAUAACUGAUAUUCAAGAGUUAAAAGUUUCUCCAAGCUGAAAUGUUACUAAUUUGAUAAGCAUCACGGGAGUAAUUUGGGAUUGAAGUUUCUCAAAAAUAUUAUUAUUUUAAGAGUAUCAUAGAUGCAUCCUCUUUCACACAAUUCUCAUAAAGCGGAAGUUUUAUACCUUUUUUUAAAUAAUGUGAUUAAUUUUUAGGUAUAUAAGGUGAGAAGCAUUUUAAAUUCAUGAGUAUCAUAACAGAUUUGUAUUUAGUUUGGUGCCUGUUUAUCUCCUGUCUAGUACUAUACUUGCAAAGAUAUUCUUUCUUAGUUUGGAACAGAUGUUUAGGAGCUUCUUGUGGGGCUCUUAUAGAGGUAGGAGUGGUGUGCAUCUAUUAUCCUAGGAUGAGAUUUGCCAUUUGAUCUGCAAGGGGGGAUUAGACAUUUAGUCAUUGUUGGUUCGACAUGAGGCCAUAAUAGCCAGAUAUGUUAUGAGAUUCUUGUUGGAGCCAAGGAGUAUCUGAAGCACUCUGAUGAGGGCGAAGUAUAACAUGUGGACUGAUCUUAUGGACAUCCACGGUGGGAGGACUUCUUCAUUCCUAUGGAAGAAAAUUUGUGGACAUACCGUGGAGCACCAAAUGAAUGAUUGGGGAUGGGAGCUCGGUGGACGUAGGCCGUGAUGCUUGGUUGGUUGACAUCUCGUUGGGACGGUGGCCAACAAUGGUCAGCACCGAGGCGAUGGAGGGUAUGACUGACUGUGACUUAUUUUGGCUUGGGGAGAGGCGAUGGGAUGUUAAUCGAGUUAGUCGCGAGGCUAUUCCCACUCAGACUUGCUCGGCUAGCAGAGUUUGGAGAAAAUCUUUAUUAUCUUCUAUGUAGACAGUCAUAUUUAUGAAGUUAUAGUAUUAAAUAUAUUAUGAAAAAAA